CUGGUUUUAUCCCGCCUAUAUACCACCGUCGCCAGCUUACCCUGUGAAGGUCUAAUAGUAAGCACAAUUGGCAUAGCCCAAAACGUCAGGUCGAGGUGUAGUGCAUGAGAGGGGAAGAAAUGGGCUACAUUCGCUGUCAUCAGCGAACACGAAUGAUGCAUUGAAAUAUGCAGCUGAAGGAGGAUUUAGCAGUAAGCAGGAAACAGAGUGUUCUGCUGAAACCGGCUCUUAAGCGCGCACACACCGCCCGUCACCCUCCCCAAGCACCUGGACCUAAAUUUUCUUUAAACCUAAACAAACGCGAAGGAGAGGAAAGUCGUAACAUGGUAAGCGUACCGGAAGGUGCGCUUGGUCAAAC
rnacentral:rRNA from 1 species